UCAAUACAAAAAAAUGUGUAAAUCUGGAAAAUCCGGUAAAUGCUUUUUUAAAAUUAAUUAAUGUUUUUUAUUUUUAACAUAAAACUGACACCAUUCGGAAUAAUUUCGCCCAUGGAACCAUGUCAAAAAUAUUUCAUUUUAUAUUUUUAAAUAAAUUUU